GAGUGGAGUAAGGCUCUGGUAGGGGGUGACUUGCUCUUUACCUACAUGGUUAAGCAGUCCUGGCCCUGGAGGUUUGCUGUCCAACAUGUUUUAGGUGUUUCUCUGCUCCAGUAUAAUAUUGUUACAUGACCAGCUGAACAUGAGCAGACAAACUCAAACAGGCCAGUUUGGCACCCUGUAGGACUAGGAUUUUGUCAUGUUCCUGGGCAGAGGUGAGUCACACCUUCUCCUCUCACCAGACUCUGAGCUAAUUCUCCACAGGUGAGGAGCAGGGGGAGCGGCAGCUGCAGGAGAUUUCCCAAUCAGGGACGCGGGUUCAAAAGGAGGAUGGAGACACAUCACUUUGCCGGAUGAUUGCACCAGUUUAGGAUCAUCUCAUCAUCUACUCACCCUCGCUGUCUUCGUUUUCUGGAACAUACUCAUCACGUCCCAUCCUCCUCCGCCGUUCCUGUUUGGCUUUCCCUCUGCUACCUCACCCCUCCUGGAUCUCUCAUCCUCUGCCCAGCGUCCUCCCCGGCUUCCCCUCCUCUACUGAUUAACCUGAGCACCUCAGAGACUCGAGCCGUAUUGCUCAUCCCACAGGACUUCCCUGUGCGGUUUCAGUUCCCGUUUUUAUAAUAAAGACAUUUUACUUUA